rnacentral:rRNA from 1 species
AUUGAACGCUGGCGGCAUGCCUUACACAUGCAAGUCGAACGGCAGCAUGGAGAGCUUGCUCUCUGAUGGCGAGUGGCGAACGGGUGAGUAAAGCAUCGGAACGUACCGUGUAGUGGGGGAUAACGUAGCGAAAGUUACGCUAAUACCGCAUACGCACUGAGGUGGAAAGCAGGGGAUCGUAAGACCUUGCGCUAUACGAGCGGCCGAUGUCAGAUUAGCUAGUUGGUAGGGUAAAGGCCUACCAAGGCGACGAUCUGUAGCGGGUCUGAGAGGAUGAUCCGCCACACUGGGACUGAGACACGGCCCAGACUCCUACGGGAGGCAGCAGUGGGGAAUUUUGGACAAUGGGGGCAACCCUGAUCCAGCCAUGCCGCGUGAGUGAAGAAGGCCUUCGGGUUGUAAAGCUCUUUCGGCCGGGAAGAAAUCGCACAGGCUAAUACCCUGUGUGGAUGACGGUACCGGCAUAAGAAGCACCGGCUAACUACGUG